rnacentral:lncRNA from 1 species
CGUGACCACUCCUGAAAUGAUCCCUCUACCUCAGAUUCCAGGAUUACAGUCCUGUGCUGCCCCAUCCUCUGCUCUCUGCAGCCCUGGAAUGGAACUCAGGGCCUUGUGCGCACUGUACAAGACAAGCACUCUGCCAACCAACAGAGCUGCAUCUGCAACUCUGGGAGUGCCCAUCCCAAGCUCACCAUGGACUUCCCACAUGAAACAUCAUUUUUGCCUGUGCUCCCCAUGUGUUUCUGGCUGAAGACAGCUUUUGAGUCUGUGGACUCACCAAAGGAGAUCACCCUAGUCAGUGUAACGUACUUUCCUGUCCUCCAAGCCUUGAGAAUCUAAAUAAAACAAGGGGCCGGGAAAGAAAGAGCCUUUCCCCUUUCAUUGCUGAUUCUUUUUCAAUUCUUUUAUUUUUCUCACUCAUUUGGUGUCAAAACAGAUGAAUGAAAAGAACUAAAAGGGAAAGGAAAGUGACAUGGCUGCUCCUAGGUAUGGUGGAGGAGAGGAUUUAUUGAAGCUAUGUGGGAGAGCACAACCAGAGGCAGGGGCAUCUGGGAGAGCUCAAAGUGGACAAGAUCCUGAGCCAGGCCAUGUGGGAAGAGGGGAAAGGGAAGGGAGA